GACGAACGCUGGCGGCGUGCUUAACACAUGCAAGUCGAACGGGAAGGCCCUGCUUUUGUGGGGUGCUCGAGUGGCGAACGGGUGAGUAACACGUGAGUAACCUGCCCUUGACUUUGGGAUAACUUCAGGAAACUGGGGCUAAUACCGGAUAGGAGCUCCUGCUGCAUGGUGGGGGUUGGAAAGUUUCGGCGGUUGGGGAUGGACUCGCGGCUGAUCAGGUUGUUGGUGGGGUAGUGGCUUACCAAGGCUUUGACGGGUAGCCGGCCUGAGAGGGUGACCGGCCACAGUGGGACUGAGAUACGGCCCAGACUCGUACGGGAGGCAGCAGUGGGGAAUAUUGCACAAUGGGCGGAAGCCUGAUGCAGCAACGCCGCGUGCGGGAUGACGGCCUUCGGGUUGUAAACCGCUUUCGCCUGUGACGAAGCGUGAGUGACGGUAAUGUGUAAAGAAGCACCGGCUAACUACGUG
rnacentral:rRNA from 1 species